rnacentral:lncRNA from 1 species
AGAUAAUGCCUACAGGCCUGAGAAUGGUCCAACUCCAAACCAAUCCAACCACACUGACACUGGAACCAACACGUUAGGUGCCCAUGCUCUGAAUUUCUUGGAAGAGACUGCCCCCUGAUGACGACUGGAUCGGUCACGCGCGGCUGUUGAGCCUAGACGUCGACGGCGACGAGUGCGGUUGCAGAUGCAGCACAAGGAUUUUGUACGCACCCGGCAGACGCAUCAGCAAUUCAGCAUCACUAGCUCUAGCUGCCCACGCCGCCGUUGCUUCCCACAGCAAGAGUCCAAUAUAACUGGCGCCCCUCCCUCCUCUCCCCAUUGUUUCCAUCCACCAUCUCCUCUGUCUGCGCCACCGGCAGCCGGGCAGUCCAACACCAACGNNNN